AACAAGGCGUACCUGCGGACCUGCGGAAGGAUCAUUACAGAGUUGCAAGACUCCCUAAACCAUUGUGAACCUACCUUCUACCGUUGCUUCGGCGGGCGGGCCCAGCGCCCCCCCGGCCCCCCGCGGGCGCCCGCCGGAGGAUACCCAAACUCUUGACAUUAGUGGCCUCUCUGAGUAUUCUUUACUGAAUAAGUCAAAACUUUCAGCAACGGAUCU
rnacentral:misc_RNA from 1 species